rnacentral:lncRNA from 1 species
GAACACAUGGUUUUUACAUAACCAUUGUGCAGCACCCUUGUUGUGUGAUGAGCGAUUGUCAACAUGCCAAUAUUUUGGUGGGUUGUUGGUUCGGUGGUUCUACUGAUAUCCUGGCACAGGGUUAUGUGUCGAAACGGUGUCUCUUGGCUUCGUGAUGUGCAGGUGUGGAGUCUGGAUGCGGUGGCAGCGGUCGGGUGAAGGUCAAGUAGGGCGUGCCGUGCUGACGGACCGGUUGCGGUGAAGGGCGGACGUGAGGCUUGGACUGACGGACCAGACGACCGGGUGGCCAGCUGCGGUGGCUGACACUUGGGACAUCAAUAAGCGCAAGUGUACACGGCGGGGGACGCGUACGGGCUACGCUACUCGCGGUGGGUUUCGCGGGUUUGGGCCUCAAAACCCGGGCGGAGGUCCCGAUGCGGACGGAUGGCACGUGGCGGCAUCGGUGAGAUCGCUUCGGAGCGAGGCUACCGGUGAGAAGGCGCGGUGGCCGUCGGAUUUAGGUCAUGUCGAGUUGGACUAGAAUGCCCCUGGGGCUAGCUAGUUCGCUCAAAAAUAUCUAGGGGCAUUUGAGGGUUGUGUAAUAUGCCUGAUAAAUAAACAGGGGAGUCCCUCAUCUUCCUCAUCUCUUUUCCACCGCUCUCUCCCUCCUGUUAUCCUGUUCUUCAUGUGAUUUCAUGUAUGAUCUGAGAUUUUUUGAGUUGGGAAUGGAGGCCCUAAACUCUUGUUGUCCUCUGGACGUGAAGAUUUGAGCAGUGGCUAUGUUCUUCAUUUUCCCCUAUUUUCGUGCCUAGCUGUGAUCUACUUUUUCUGGAGUUUAGAUCGAUCUCAGACAUUGCUUUUCCGGAAAUAGUUUGGUGGCCUCUUGAAUUUGGUCUGUGCAAAAUCUAGGAACGAUCCAUGAUGAUUUGAUCGGUUUCUCGUUCGUUUUUUUUGGGUUCUUUUCUGUUCUGAUCUUGCGUUUGUCGGGCUCCUGUUGGUUCUGUGGCAGCAUGGGGGACAUCAGCGAAUAAAUUCUAGCAGCAGUGCUAUCAGCACCGUGCGCUCAGGCACCGUGCACGCUCCAUUGAGCAGCACUUGCAGCAGGUCUUUGUGGACGCCUGCCAUCCGUUUCCCUGUUCCAGUUCGCUCGUGCCCAGCAGCUUGGCAGCUUCUCCUAUCGAGCAAAUUGCAAGUGGCGCAGAGCUACAGCAGCAGAUGUCCCUGUCUCUGUGUUUGUUCUCUAGACGAUUCUUGAGUCAGAUCUCCUAGUUGCAGUCCACCGUUUCCAAGAUUGCUCAUUCAGUUUUCCUCCGUACUUGUUUGUUUCUGAUUCAGGUGCAAGAGCAUACUAUCCAGUAGUAGCAGGAGCUUUUUGGUCAACAGAGCAGAUCGCUGCUAGCUUCUGUGCAAAUUGCAGCAGCCUGUGAUUUUAUUUUUGUUAGUUUGCAUUUGGUCAAAAGCUUUUAUUUGCUUUCCUAAAAAGCUUCAGGCAAUCCUUGGUUAAUCCUUGAUUUGAAGAUUUAAUUUACUUCUUCUACUUGUUUGCUAUUCACGGUGGUGAAUUUAUUUUCUUCUCUGUGAUUGGUGCUAGGAGGGUUGGUCAGGUGUAGCUGUGCCGAAGUAACAUGCUUGUGCAGCUGAGCGAAUUUUUUUUUGGAAAAUUUUUUGUCCAAUUUUUCCAACCAUGAUUUCCUGUUUCGCUAGUAGUUUGAUCGUUUGUACUCCGAUUCGUGUUCUGUCUGUUGCGUUAGCUUCUUGUCGUUCCAAAGAAUUUUUCUAGAUACUCUUGUCACUAGUUGGCUUGAGUAUUUCAGUUUUGAAACAUCCUUGUGUUUGGCGGUGAUUUUGGGACAGUGGCUAAAUAUUUCGAAAGAAAUUUGAGGCUCUCAUUCACCCCCUCUCUGGUCGCCGUUUUCGGUCCUUCAAUUGGUAUCAGAGCCGGUUAAGGAUCAUUCCACCUUAAUCGGUCCGUGAUCCACGAAGGCGACAUGGAGCGUGGUUGCGGUAAACCACCGUUCUUCGAUGGAACAAACUAUCCCUAUUGAAAAAUACGCAUGUCUGGCCAUCUCCAGGGUAUUGAUUGGCUUGUUUGGGAAAUUUGCGAGGAUGCUACUUUCGUUGUGCUUGAACCCCAUGCUCGAACCACGCAAGAUCAAAAAGAUCGGCACAACGCAAAUAGCAGAGCAAGAUCUGUUCUUUUCUCGAGUCUUUCGCUUUCUGAGUUCGAGCGUGUUCUUUUCUCGAGUCUUUCGCUUCCUGAGUUCGAGCGUGUCUCUGAUUGUGCUUCUGCUCGAGAGAUCUGGGUGAGGCUUCAGAGCUAUCACGAGGGUACAGCCCAUGUCAAAACCAGACUCUAUGAGACGUACAAAAGAGAGUACGAGAACUUCACUCAGCUUGAUGGCGAGUCCAUCGAUGCCAUGUUUUCUCGUUUUCAGACGAUCAUUAACAAGAUGCGAGCAAACAAGGCACAGCUACCUUAUGACGAUCAUGAGAGGGCUCUCAAGCUUCUAUAUGCCCUAGAUCGGAAGGUAUGGGAUGUGAAGGUGUCCGCCAUCAUCGAGUCUUCGAACUACGACACCAUCACUGUGGACGAGCUGUUCAGCAAGCUCAAGUCCACCGAGAUCGACUACCAGACUCAAGCCAAGCUCAAGAAUCCCUCUGCACCGACUAUGGCUUUAGUCUUAGGUAACAGUUCAAGUUCUUCAGCUAACCCUUCACAGAUGUCGUUUGCCUUGUCUUCUUUGGUGUCUGUUUCAGAGGAGCAGUUGGAGACCCUUGGGGAUGACGAGCUGGCGUUGAUCAUCAGCCGGUUCUCGCGGUUCCACAACAACCGCUUGAACCACCGCCGGGGCGGUGAUCAAAAGGUGGGCUGCUACAACUGUGGAGAUCUCGACCACUUCGUCGCCCACUGCCCCAAGAAGAACAAGCACUCCUCCGACAAGUACGACUCCGGCAAGCGCAAGGACAAGCGCGACUACACCUCCAAGAAGUACAAGUCAAAGAAGGGCUUCGACAAGGACGCGCUCAAGAAGAUGUACCGCAAGAAAGCCAAGGCGCAAGAGCGUGCCUUCCUUGCUUCCCUCAGCGACCUCGACAAUGACUCCGGCGAUGACCGCUCCUCUUCUCCCUCGAGUGACGAUGAGUCCGAGAGGAAGAUGGAGGAGAAGCUGACUGGUCUUUGCUUCAUCGCCGACUCCACUCACGGAGGCUUCUGCACCAUGGCGAUUGAUGAAGAGGUGAAGGCCAGCAAGGACGAGGUCUCCUUCGACGACGACACCUCCGAGGUACCUCCUUCUGUCGAUGACCUUGUCGCUGAGCUUGAUAGCAUGAAUAUCACCUUGAUUAGUCAAGAUAAAUUGCUUAAGCGUGCUGCCCGUGAGAGGAAAGAGUUUAAGGACAAGCUAGUGUUGGCGCUUAAGGUGCUUGAGGUUGCUAAGGAGUGUGCUGUGGUUGUGUCAGAUGAAGUAGAGUCCGAUGAGUGUGUUGUUCAUAUGUCUAACUUCUCUGAAUUGCAAUCUAAGUAUGCUACUUUGUUUGAUGAGUAUGGUGAGCUGAAGGCUAGGCCUGUCUUGUUGGGUGCGUGCAAGUCCUGCUCGGGCUUGCAAUCUGAGCUGGCAGAGAAGAAUGCCAAGAUCUCUAUUCUUGAGAAGGCCAGUUUAGAUAGCACUAUUGCUAAGUGUGCACGUUGUGAGAGUUUGGUGCUAGAGCUUGAGUCUUGCAGGCAGGAUAAGAUGAGAUCCGAGGAAGACAACACAUACCUUCGGUCCAUCUUGAGCUGGGUGUCUAGCAGUGAGCCACAGUUGGGCAUGAUGAUGAGCCAGUUCAGGCGAGGAACUUGCACAUCGGGUGUAGGCUUUGCUAUAGGUGGGAAGGGUGAAAAUCUUUAUGGCAAGGUUGGUGAGUUUAGUGGUUUGAGCCCAAAUGAGAAACCAUCCACUACUCCCUAGUUGAUCAAAUUCACUCCACCUGAGCCUUCCAAACCCACUGUCAAAGAUGGAGUGUUUGAAGAACCUCCAAAAUCCACACCUCAAAAACAAGUGUGGAUUCCAAAACCUAACCAUCUCAGGAACCCACUUGACACUCUACCAAACAUCUCUGAGGAUCCCCUUCCUAAAGCCAAAAAGCCACCAAGAGUUAACCAUACCCACAAGAGAGUGAACCAACAACCACCCAAGAGAGAGGUAAGGUAUCACUGUGAGUAUUGCCAUAGGGAUGGUCACCUUGUUGAGUUUUGCUUUAGGAGGAAGAGAGAUGAGCGGCGAGAGUACGAGUUGAACAACCGAAACAUGUACCGCCCACCCCAUGGCGUACAUGUGCCACCUGUUCAGAGGCGCAGUGCUAGGCCUAGAGGUGCAAUGCCUCAAGGUGCUAGGCCUCAGCUUGCGAGACCACGUGGUGGUCGUGCCCGACAUGGUUCAGGUCAUGAUCAAUAUGACUUUGAACCUCGUGGGGGUGGCUUUGCUUCUCAGUCCCACAGCUCUAGCGGACCACGUUUUCCCUUUCGUGGUGAUCGCUUUCCUCAAAUGGGACAUGGCAUGCUUGGUGUUUUUCCUAACACUUUUCCAGGGCAAAUGACCCAACACUGGUAUCCUUCACAGUUUACUAACCCCAGUGUUGCGCCAUUUGCUCACCCCAUGUCUUUCUAUUGAUGCAGAUCGGAGGCCUGGAGAACACGUGGCUUGUUGAUUCCGGUUGUUCGCGCCACAUGACCGGAAGUUCAAAAUGGUUCUCCAGCCUCGACCCCGUGCAAUGUAAGGAGUACAUCACAUUCGAGGAUAAUAGCAAAGGUAAAGUGCUUUCUCGUGGGACCAUUCGGGUCAAUGAGAGUUUUGUCUUGAAGGAUGUUGCUUUGGUUUUGAAUUUGCAUUUCAAUUUGCUUUCGGUUUCGCAACUCCUUCAGGAUGGUUUUGAGGUGCGUUUUAAGACCGGCUUGUCUCGAGUUCUUGAUUCUCAGGGAAAUCUUGUUUGCCAGAUUGUCCCUUUUGGUCGUGUUUUCGAGCUAAUUUUUCUCACUCUUUUGGCUCUUCUCGUUGUCUUGUGGUUGGAUCCUCUUCUGAUCUUUGGAAGUGGCAUAGGAGACUUGGUCAUUUGAGCUUUGACUUACUAGCUAGGUUGAGCUCACUUGACUUAAUCCGAGGAUUGCCCAAAUUGAAAUUUGAGAAGGAUUUGGUUUGUCACCCUUGUCGUCAUGGGAAGAUGGUUGCCGCUUCUCACCCUCCUGUGACUCAGGUCAUGACCAAGGGACCCGGUGAGCUACUUCAUAUGGACACAGUUGGUCAGGCUCGGGUUCGGUCAGAGGGAGGGAAGUGGUAUGUUCUAGUGAUUGUGGAUGACUUUUAUCGCUACUCUUGGGUGUUUUUCAUGGAGGGUAAGGAUGAGGCUUUUUCUCAUGUUCGAGACUUGAUUCUUCGGUUACAGACUGAGUUGCCUAAGAAUGCCAUGAGAGCUAUACGCAGUGACAAUGGCACAGAGUUCAAAAACACUCAGUUUGAUACCUUCUGUGCUUCUUUGGGUCUCGAGCACCAGUUUUCCUCUCCUUAUGUUCCCCAGCAAAAUGGUGUUGUUGAGCGCAAAAAUCGGACCCUUGUUGAGAUGGCCAGGACGAUGCUCGAUGAGCAUAGGACUCCUAGGAGAUAUUGGGCCGAGGCGAUCAACACCACCUGUCAUGUCUCCAAUCGCAUUUUUCUUCGAGCCUUCUUGAAAAAGACUUCUUAUGAGUUGCGAUUUGGUAGACUACCCAAGGUAAGUCACUUCAGGGUGUUUGGUUGCAAGUGUUUCAUCUUGAAGCAAGGUAAUUUAGACAAAUUUGAGUCUAGGUCCUCCGACGAUAUUUUUCUUGGUUAUGCUUCUCAAUCUCAUGCAUAUCGUGUACUUAACCUUGAAACUAACCGAGUCGUGGAGACCUGUGAGGUCACAUUCGAUGAGACUAUGCCUUGUUCUUCUCCUGUCUUUGAAUGUGCAGGUGAUCAGGAGAUUGGUGAAAGUAUCUUUGUUGAUGAUGAUGCAGAAGAUAUCAAUUGGGGUGAUCCCGAGCCGACACCACUGGCUGCCCCUCUCGCGUCUUCGACGACUACUUCGGCUGACGGCCCCGAUCCUUCUUCUUCCACUACUUGGGGUCCGAUUGAGCAGCCUCCUCAGCCUACACCGGCUGUCCCUGAGGAGGCCCCAGCUGCAGCUGAGGGGGAGGCGACUUCUUCAAGGGAAGCACCUCGACACAUUCAGCGUCGCCAUCCACCUCAGACCAUGAUUGGUGAAAUUGACCAGCGAGUCACGCGGUCCAGGUCAUAUCACAUCUCACACUUCGCUCAUUCUGCUUUUGUUGCUUCUUUUGAGCCUCGAGAUGUUGGACACGCACUAUCUAAUUCCGAUUGGGUUAAUGCUAUGCAUGAGGAGCUAGAAAAUUUUGAGAGAAACAAGGUUUGGGUUUUAGUACCACUUCCACCAGAUUGCCAUCCCAUAGGUUCCAAGUGGGUUUUCAAAAACAAACAGAGUGAAGAUGGGGUGGUAGUGAGGAACAAGGCUAGGUUGGUAGCUCAGGGUUUCUGUCAGAAAGAGGGGAUAGACUAUGAGGAAACCUUUGCUCCUAUUGCCCGUCUAGAAGCCAUUAGGAUCCUUUUAGCCUUUGCAGCUUCAAAAGGGUUCAAGCUGUAUCAGAUGGAUGUGAAGAGUGCUUUCUUGAAUGGGUAUAUAGAGGAAGAGGUCUAUGUGAGACAACCCCCUGGCUUUGAAAAUCCUAAGUUUCCUAACCAUGUUUUUAAACUCCACAAAGCCUUGUAUGGUCUAAAACAAGCCCCGAGAGCCUCGUAUGAGCGUUUGAAAACCUUCUUGCUUGCAAAGGGUUUUAAAAUGGGUUCGGUUGAUAAAACUUUGUUUCUCCUCAAGCAAGGCACUGACACUCUUUUGGUUCAGAUAUACGUGGAUGAUAUCAUUUUCGGUGGCUCUUCUCAUGCACUUGUUGGCAAGUUUGCAGAAACUAUGAGCAGGGAAUUUGAGAUGAGCAUGAUGGGCGAGUUGACGUUCUUUCUUGGUUUGCAAAUCAAGCAAACUAGAGAAGGGACGUUUGUGCACCAAGGCAAGUACACCAAGGACGUACUCAAGAAAUUCGAUAUGGGCGAGGCCAAGCCUCUCUCGACGCCCAUGUCAACCACGAUGGCCCUAGAUGCAGAUGAAGAAGGAGAAGCUGUGGACCAAAAGGAGUACCGAAGCAUGAUUGGGUCGCUUCUGUACCUGACGGCGACAAGACCGGACAUCCAGUUCGUGGUCUGCUUGUGUGCGCGCUUUCAGUCUUCGCCGCGCACAUCUCAUCGUCAAGCCGUCAAGUGGAUCAUGAGGUACCUUCGUUUCACACCUGAGUUUGGUCUUUGAUUUUCAGCUUCCUCCUCUCUUUCUCUUUGCGGCUAUUCUGAUGCGGAUUAUGCCGGCUGCCGUGUUGAGCGCAAGUCCACGUCGGGGACUUGCCAGUUUCUUGGGACUUCUCUUGUGUCUUGGUCCUCUCGCAAGCAAUCCUCAGUUGCCCAAUCCACCACAGAAGCCGAGUAUGUUGCUGCUGCUGCUUGCUGCUCCCAGUUGCUUUGGAUGAUAGCUACUUUGAGAGACUUUUGGUUAGAGUUUAGGCGAGUGCCUCUGCUUUGUGAUAGCACCAGUGCCAUAAGCGUUGCUAAAAACCCAGUCCUCCACUCAAAAACCAAGCAUAUAGAUGUCCGCUUUCACUUCCUGCGUGACCACUAUGAGAAAGGAGAUAUUGACCUACACCAUGUUGAUACCCAAAAUCAGCUUGCAGACAUCUUUACCAAACCCCUUGGCCAAGCCCAAUUUGCUCGCUUGCGAGGGGAGCUUGGAGUUUGUUUCCCUUUUUAGUUGAGGGGAACUUUGGUUUUUGUACUCUAGUUUCGUUUUCUUUUAGUUUAGCUUUUAUUUUAUUUUUUUUGUACCAUAUUGCAUUGCAUUUCAUCUCAUCAUGUAUAUUAGAGCAUUUUGAGCUUCAUGAUUAUAGUUGUUAGAUUGAGAUUAUGCUCUUUGUGAUAUGUCUUGUAUGUACAUGAUGGUGCUUGUCGCUUAGGCUCUUUUUUGAUCACUUGAUGCAUGUUAUGAGCUAAGCUGUUUUACAACUUAUGAACUUGACAUAAACCUGUUGAAACGUGAAAAUUGUUCACCAUUGUCUUUGGCAACUAGCAUGUGUAGGAUGUGUUGAGAUCACUUGAGCUAUCAUUUAUAUGCUAGGUUGCUAUGUCUCAUGCUUUGAGUUAUACACUUGCUUGGACAACUUGUAAAUUCUUGUGCUAAAAAAUUGAAAAUCAAGCUAAGUGAAAACAAAAGAUCGAGAUGGGUCUGUAUUGUCCUACGUCAAGGUAUCGAGACUGCUUCCAAUUGCACUUAUGGAUGAACUUGAGCCUUGUAGUGGAUGCCGAGAUCAUUGUCUUAAGCUUGCGAUUGUCUAUGACAUAGGCUUGGCAUGGUCGAUAAGUUGGUUUGAUGGUACAGAUAACCUCUCGCACCCACACAUGUUUUUUUGACUAAACCUUGUGAUAUGCUGCAAACUCCGAUAAAAUGAAAUUUGAUGAAAACACAAGUCUAAAGUUAGUCUUUGACAUGAUGUAUGAACGCUGCUUGGGAUAGUUCACCUUGUAUACACUUGUUAGCACUAGGUUGAUUUCCUGCUUAUACCUGCUAUGUGCUACUUUCAGUGGUGAACUUCUUCUUACAAUUGCUUAAAAUUGAUAAAAAAUGCUUAAAUGUCAUAUUUCGUUUCACUUGAUCAGUUUGAGCAUUUGCUAGCACUUGUACUUAUUGCUAUACACACAUGACAACACCACCUAGAGCAUCUUUUCAAUCUGAUUGCUAUACCCCUGAAGCUUUUAUAUAUGUGCAUUCUUUGCAUUCAUAGCAUGUUUUGAGGGGGAGUUGCACUCCUUGGACAAAUCUUGAUAAGUGCAUGUGUCAACAAGGGGGAGAAAGUUACACACGAAAAGAGAGACAUACAUUCAUUUGAGAGAGAUUGCAUUUGCUCAGGGGGAGUUGCAUUUGAGUUGCUUUUGCUAGAUGUGUUGAGCCUUUGCCUCUUUUGGAGGGUCUAGUUGUUUUCUGGCUUUUCAAGCUUUGCUAGCGGUGUUGGACCUGUUUGCCUCUUCUUGAGGGCUAGCUGUGUUUUACUUGGUUGUGUCGAGCUGUUGCCCAUGUAUUUGGGGACCAAGUUGUUGGCUUUGCUUUACUCAAUGUGAGUGACCCGUUUCGAGCUUACACUUGAGUUGGUUUUCUCUGGCUUUGUGUUGGUGUUGUUGCACUCAUCAAGGGGGAGAUUGCGCACACAUGGUUUUUACAUAACCAUUGUGGAGCACCCUUGUUGUGUGAUGAGCGAUUGUCAACAUGCCAAUAUUUUGGUGGGUUGUUGGUUCGGUGGUUCUACUGAUAUCCUGGCACAGGGUUAUGUGUCGAAACGGUAUCUCUUGGCUUCGUGAUGUGCAGGUGUGGAGUCUGGAUGCGGUGGCAGCGGUCGAGUGAAGGUCAAGUAGGGCGUGCCGUGCUGACGGACCGGUUGCGGUGAAGGGCGGACGUGAGGCUUGGACUGACGGACCAGACGACUAGGUGGCCAGCUGCGGUGGUUGACACUUGGGACAUCAAUAAGCGCAAGUGUACACGGCGGGGGACG